rnacentral:rRNA from 1 species
UACGGGGGGGGCAAGCGUUGUUCGGAAUUACUGGGCGUAAAGGGCGCGUAGGCGGCCUUCUAAGUCGGACGUGAAAUCCCUCGGCUUAACCGAGGAACUGCGUCCGAUACUGAGAGGCUUGAAUCCGGGAGAGGGAUGUGGAAUUCCAGGUGUAGCGGUGAAAUGCGUAGAUAUCUGGAGGAACACCGGUGGCGAAGGCGGCAUCCUGGACCGGCAUUGACGCUGAGGCGCGAAAGCUAGGGGAGCAAACGGG